GAGCGGCAGGCGGCGGCGGAGCGCAGCAUCAUGGCGGACCGAGACAGCGGCAGCGAGCAGGGUGGUGCGGCGCUGGGCUCGGGCGGCUCCCUAGGGCACCCGGGCUAGGGCUCAGGCUCCGGCGGGGGCGGUGGUGGCGGCGGGGGCGGCGGCGGCAGUGGCGGCGGCGGCGGGGCCCCGGGGGGGCUGCAGCACGAGACGCAGGAGCUGGCCUCCAAGCGGGUGGACAUCCAGAACAAGCGUUUCUACCUGGACGUGAAGCAGAACGCUAAGGGCCGUUUCCUGAAGAUCGCUGAGGUGGGCGCUGGCGGCAACAAGAGCCGCCUCACCCUCUCCAUGUCUGUGGCCGUGGAGUUCCGCGACUACCUGGGCGACUUCAUCGAGCACUACGCGCAGCUGGGCCCCAGCCAGCCGCCCGACCUGGCCCAGGCACAGGACGAGCCACGCCGGGCGCUCAAGAGCGAGUUCCUGGUGCGCGAAAACCGCAAGUACUACAUGGAUCUCAAGGAGAACCAGCGCGGCCGCUUCCU
rnacentral:lncRNA from 1 species